rnacentral:ncRNA from 1 species
GUCGGGCUUAGUGAUCCGGUGGUUCCGCAUGGAAGGGCCAUCGCUCAACGGAUAAAAGCUACCCCGGGGAUAACAGGCUUAUCUCCCCCAAGAGUCCACAUCGACGGGGAGGUUUGGCACCUCGAUGUCGGCUCAUCGCAUCCUGGGGCUGUAGUCGGUCCCAAGGGUUGGGCUGUUCGCCCAUUAAAGCGGUACGCGAGCUGGGUUCAGAACGUCGUGAGACAGUUCGGUCCCUAUCCGUCGUGGGCGCAGGAAAUUUGAGAGGAGCUGUCCUUAGUACGAGAGGACCGGGAUGGACGCACCGCUGGUGUACCAGUUGUCUUGCCAAAGGCAUCGCUGGGUAGCUAUGUGCGGACGGGAUAAGUGCUGAAAGCAUCUAAGCAUGAAGCCCCCCUCAAGAUGAGAUUUCCCAUAGCGUCAAGCUAGUAAGAUCCCUGAGAGAUGAUCAGGUUGAUAGGUCAGAGGUGGAAGCACGGUGACGUGUGGAGCUGACUGAUACUAAUCGAUCGAGGACUUAACCAA